rnacentral:rRNA from 1 species
UACGUAGGGUGCGAGCGUUGUCCGGAAUUAUUGGGCGUAAAGGGCUCGUAGGCGGUCCAUCGCGUCGGGAGUGAAAAGCUGGGGCUCAACCCCAGUCCUGCUUUCGAUACGGGUGGACUAGAGGUAGGCAGGGGAGAACGGAAUUCCUGGUGUAGCGGUGAAAUGCGUAGAUAUCGUAAGGAAGACCAGUGGCGAAGGCGGGUCUCUGGACAGUUCCUGACGCUGAGGCACGAAGGUCAGGGGAGCAAACGGG